CAGUCUGCAACUCGACUGCAUGAAGUCGGAAUCGCUAGUAAUCGCGGAUCAGCAUGCCGCGGUGAAUACGUUCCCGGGCCUUGUACACACCGCCCGUCACACCAUGAGAGUCGGGAACACCCGAAGUCCGUAGCCUAACCGCAAGGGGGCGCGGCCGAAGGUGGGUUCGAUAAUUGGGGUGAAGUCGUAACAAGGUAGC
rnacentral:rRNA from 1 species